rnacentral:rRNA from 1 species
UCGAGGGGCAGCAUGGUCUUAGCUUGCUAAGGCUGAUGGCGACCGGCGCACGGGUGAGUAACACGUAUCCAACCUGCCGUCUACUCUUGGCCAGCCUUCUGAAAGGAAGAUUAGUCCAGGAUGGCAUCAUGAGUUCACAUGUCCGCAUGAUUAAAGGUAUUUUCCGGUAGACGAUGGGGAUGCGUUCCAUUAGAUAGUAGGCGGGGUAACGGCCCACCUAGUCAACGAUGGAUAGGGGUUCUGAGAGGAAGGUCCCCCACAUUGGAACUGAGACACGGUCCAAACUCCUACGGGAGGCAGCAGUGAGGAAUAUUGGUCAAUGGGCGAUGGCCUGAACCAGCCAAGUAGCGUGAAGGAUGACUGCCCUAUGGGUUGUAAACUUCUUUUAUAAAGGAAUAAAGUCGGGUAUGCAUACCCGUUUGCAUGUACUUUAUGAAUAAGGAUCGGCUAACUCCGUGCCAGCAGCCGCGGUAAUACGGAGGAUCCGAGCGUUAUCCGGAUUUAUUGGGUUUAAAGGGAGCGUAGAUGGAUGUUUAAGUCAGUUGUGAAAGUUUGCGGCUCAACCGUAAAAUUGCAGUUGAUACUGGAUGUCUUGAGUGCAGUUGAGGCAGGCGGAAUUCGUGGUGUAGCGGUGAAAUGCUUAGAUAUCACGAAGAACUCCGAUUGCGAAGGCAGCCUGCUAAGCU